UACGGGGGGGGCAAGCGUUGUUCGGAAUUACUGGGCGUAAAGGGCGUGUAGGCGGUCAAGUAAGUGGAAUGUGAAACGCCUCGGCUUACCCGAGGACCUGCAUCCCAAACUGCUUGGCUUGAGUAUGGGAGAGGAUGAGGGAAUUCCUGGUGUAGCGGUGAAAUGCGUAGAUAUCAGGAGGAACACCGGUGGCGAAAGCGCUCAUCUGGCCCAAUACUGACGCUGAGGCGCGAAAGCUAGGGGAGCAAACGGG
rnacentral:rRNA from 1 species